rnacentral:rRNA from 1 species
UACGUAGGGGGCAAGCGUUGUCCGGAUUUAUUGGGCGUAAAGAGCGUGUAGGCGGCCAGGUAGGUCCGUUGUGAAAACUCGAGGCUCAACCUCGAGACGCCGAUGGAAACCAUCUGGCUAGAGUCCGGAAGAGGAGAGUGGAAUUCCCGGUGUAGCGGUGAAAUGCGCAGAUAUCGGGAAGAACACCCGUGGCUAAGGCGGCUCUCUAGUACGGUACUGACGCUCAUGCACGAAAGCGUGGGGAGCAAACAGG